CCCGCUGCCAGUCAGAAGGUCCAUCGUCUGUUUGUAAAAGUUGAGAUACCUGGAACAGAAGCGGCGCCGUCUCGCACCCCUAAAGCUCCCUCUCGAAGCGAUUCGGGAUUCGGUUCAUGGUGUGGACCCCAGCACGCAGGCCCGGCCACGGCGCCACGGCUCACCAGGGCUGAGACUUCUCAGACUCUGCACGCCCCUGGCCCUUGGAGAGCAGCAGCCUUCCUGGGGGCCAUGAAGGACAUAGACUUGGGCUUUGGGGCCCCUCCCCAAGUUCUCCCAGUCCCUGCCCCAUGAAGCCUUCUGUGUUAGACAGAAGCAGAUAAGAGGCGUAGCUGCCUCAGCUCUCAUCCUAAGGGAAUAUUCUUGAAAAUUCUGAGCCCAUGAAUGUGCUGGCAUGAUAGGACUCCAACUUUAACCUGCAGCCCGAAAGUCAGGCUCGGCUGUGGAGAGAGCCUCCUGCUAUUGAGCCAACUCCUCUGGAAGCCAACAUGGCUGCUGAGGGGCUUUGAGUCUAUGGAGGAGGCAGUGGCAAGGGACGUCUGAGCCAGCCAUUCGCCAUCUUUCCUACUGUAAGAGCAGUGCGGACUUGUGGGGGUAUGUGUUUUGGGGGAGAGAGGGGUUAGCCCUCAUAAUCACCAUCAGCUGUGCCCCCCACAAGGCACCCCAAAUAAACACCCAGUCUCAGUAAAAACACUGUAUGAGUGUAUGUGCUAUGCUAAUGUAGCUUUGAGACUAUUUCUCUAGCCUCUCUGCCAGUCCUGUCCCUCAGCCCCUCCCAUAUGAAAAUCCUGGAGAUUUCGUGAUUCAGGGCCUAGUCUGAACCAUGCACUCCAGCUGGGGCACACAGCUGCAGCAUACCCCAGCCAGAGCCUCUGUCCCCUUCCCCAUGGGAGGGAGCUCCAUGGGUGCACAGAGCCACCCCACCCAACUGUUCACACCGUUCAAAUUCCAUGAGGUCAGGCGACAAAGUUCCUGGGGAGUAUAAGAUCACUUUUUUCUCCUCUUCCUCCUCCUCCUCUUCCUCUUCCUCCUCUUCCUCCUCCUCCUCUUCUUCUUCCUCCUCCUCUUCUUCUUGAUCUUCCUCUUCCUCAUCUUCCUCCUCCUCAGCAUCCUUCCUGACUGCCUCAGUUGGGCACCAAGGGGAGGAACCAUUCUGAGGAAAACUGUUUGAAAGCAGGCUGGGAAAGAAAACAGAAACAAGACAACUAUAGAUUAAUAUCCCUC
rnacentral:lncRNA from 1 species